UUGAUUUUUUAGUCCUACCAAACAAGCUCUUAAUCUACUAGAUAUGGAAUUUUCCCUUUUAACAACUUGGCAAUUCUCCUAGCCCCAAACCAAAGGGGAAAAAAUGAAUUUAUAGAUUGACUCAUUUUUGAGAAACAGCAAUUUGAGAGAAUAAGUAGCUACUUUUAAAAUCUAUGGUCCCAAAUUGCUGAAAGCUCUUUAAAUGAUUGAUCAUCCUGUCUGAGAGGAAAUGCAAAUAAAGUCAACAGAGUUCACUUUUCUCUUUUUAACUAUUAAAAAUUCAAUUCUCAUAAUUACUUUCUUUAAAUUGUCUAUGCACGUGUAUAAUUUUUAAUAAAUUAUUGACCUUAAUACUUGAAAUGAAGUGAGUUUGACUGGCAAUGCAAUUUAGCAAGUGGUGCUUAGCAUGAUGGUUGGAUGAAGUGGUGCUUAGCAUGAUGGUUGGAUGAAAUUGUAUAAAGGCUUGGACGGAAUGGAUUGUAAUUCCAAAAGAGAUGGUGGAAGAAGGCUGGUUGAAAUCCCGGCAAGCAAUCAUUAGCAAUACCUGGCAAGGGAAUUAGAUUGUCGGCUUGAAGCUGGAAGAUGACAUGAUCAGAUCGCAGAUAAGCAGCACUAUUAGGACGUAAUGCGACAGUAGGCAGCUCUAGACAAGUAGCCACUUCAUCAACAAAGUGCAUGAGAGUAUCAUACACAAUACAAGCAACCUGACCGUGCUGCUCCUGUGUUUCCAGCAUCUCAACCAUGUGUUCAUGAAACCGCUCUUUGAAGUUGUUGUUCAUAGCAGAUAUUGCAUUCAACGAGAUUUUGUGAGAAGUGUCGUGACCA